UACGGGGGAGCAAGCGUUGUUCGGAUUUACUGGGCGUAAAGGGCGCGUAGGCGGCCACCGCAAGUCGACUGUGAAAUCUCCGGGCUUAACUCGGAAAGGUCAACCGAUACUGCAGGGCUAGAGUGCAGAAGGGGCAACUGGAAUUCUCGGUGUAGCGGUGAAAUGCGUAGAUAUCGAGAGGAACACCUGCGGCGAAGGCGGGUUGCUGGGCUGACACUGACGCUGAAGCGCGAAAGCUAGGGGAGCGAACGG
rnacentral:rRNA from 1 species